rnacentral:lncRNA from 1 species
UAUUUUGAGAAAUUGAGAUAUCAGUAUCAGGAAACAAUAUUCUAAAUUUCUUCAUUCGAAUUGAAUUCUUAGUUUUUUUCUGGAUUCUUUAUAGAUUCAAAGACUAACCACAAAAUCACAAAGAAAAUAGAUUCAUUAGUCCGAUACCUUAUAUAAAACUCAUGUGUGUAAGAAAUAUUAGAUCGCAUAGAGUGUACGAAUGGGUUGAUUAACAAUUCAGAGAUGAAGAAAUGGCAAAAAAGAAAGCUUUCACUCCUCUUUUCUAUUUUGCAUCUAUAGUAU